rnacentral:misc_RNA from 1 species
GAUGUUUUUAGGUCCCAAAGAUUUGGGAGUUCUUGUUGCCCGCCAACAUCCUCUUGGCUUAGCUCAUUCUAAUUCUCUCCCACAACAGAUAUCAGUAUUGGAGGGUGAAUCCUAUACAAGCCAGCACUGAAAAUGGUUUCUGAAUUAAUAAAUGCCAACCCCGUUGUGUAUAAAAAGAAGGAGCGGCGAGAUAGAGGUGCCAGAACUGUUCUGGAUGAAUAUGCAGCUGAACCUAUCGACCAGCUAGAAAUUUUUG